rnacentral:rRNA from 1 species
UACGGAGGGUGCGAGCGUUGUCCGGAAUCACUGGGCGUAAAGGGCGCGUAGGCGGCCUGCUAAGUCGAACGUGAAAUCCCCGGGCUCAACCCGGGAACUGCGUCCGAUACUGGUAGGCUUGAAUCCGGGAGAGGGAUGCGGAAUUCCAGGUGUAGCGGUGAAAUGCGUAGAUAUCUGGAGGAACACCGGUGGCAAAGGCGGCAUCCUGGACCGGUAUUGACGCUGAGGCGCGAAAGCCAGGGGAGCAAACGGG